AUUGAACGCUGGCGGCAGGCCUAACACAUGCACGUCGAGCGAGCGGCGGACGGGUGAGUAAUGUCUGGGAAACUGCCUGAUGGAGGGGGAUAACUACUGGAAACGGUAGCUAAUACCGCAUACCAUCAGAUGUGCCCAGAGGGGAUUAGCUAGGAGGUGGGUUAACGGCUCACCUAGGCGACGAUCCCUAGCUGGUCUUAGAGGAUGACCGGCCACACUGGAACUGAGACACGGUCCAGACUCCGACGGGAGGCAGCAGUGGGGAAUAUUGCACAAUGGGCGCAAGCCGGAUGCAGCAAUGCCGCGUGUGUGAAGAAGGCCUUCGGGUUGUAAAGCACUUUCGGCGGGGAGGCGUUACCCGCAGAAGAAGCACCGGCUAACUCCGGGCCAGCAGCCGCGGUAAUAC
rnacentral:rRNA from 1 species